CAUCUUACCGGACAGUGCUGG
rnacentral:ncRNA from 2 species